rnacentral:rRNA from 1 species
CCAAACCAACAAGCUUGCUUGUUGGGGUUGUAGGACACUCUAUACGGAGUUACAAAGGACGACAUUAGACGAAUCAUCUGGAAAGAUGAAUCAAAGAAGGUAAUAAUCCUGUAGUCGAAAAUGUUGUCUCUCUUGAGUGGAUCCUGAGUACGACGGAGCACGUGAAAUUCCGUCGGAAUCUGGGAGGACCAUCUCCUAAGGCUAAAUACUCUCUAGUGACCGAUAGUGAACCAGUACCGUGAGGGAAAGGUGAAAAGCACCCCGGAAGGGGAGUGAAAUAGAACCUGAAACCGUGUGCUUACAAGUAGUCAGAGCCCGUUAAUGGGUGAUGGCGUGCCUUUUGUAGAAUGAACCGGCGAGUUACGAUUUGAUGCAAGGUUAAGCAGUAAAUGUGGAGCCGUAGCGAAAGCGAGUCUGAAUAGGGCGUUUAGUAUUUGGUCGUAGACCCGAAACCAGGUGAUCUACCCUUGGUCAGGUUGAAGUUCAGGUAACACUGAAUGGAGGACCGAACCGACUUACGUUGAAAAGUGAGCGGAUGAACUGAGGGUAGCGGAGAAAUUCCAAUCGAACCUGGAGAUAGCUGGUUCUCUCCGAAAUAGCUUUAGGGCUAGCCUCAAGUGAUGAUUAUUGGAGGUAGAGCACUGUUUGGACGAGGGGCCCCUCUCGGGUUACCGAAUUCAGACAAACUCCGAAUGCCAAUUAAUUUAACUUGGGAGUCAGAACAUGGGUGAUAAGGUCCGUGUUCGAAAGGGAAACAGCCCAGACCACCAGCUAAGGUCCCAAAAUAUAUGUUAAGUGGAAAAGGAUGUGGCGUUGCCCAGACAACUAGGAUGUUGGCUUAGAAGCAGCCAUCAUUUAAAGAGUGCGUAAUAGCUCACUAGUCGAGUGACACUGCGCCGAAAAUGUACCGGGGCUAAACAUAUUACCGAAGCUGUGGAUUGUCCUUUGGACAAUGGUAGGAGAGCGUUCUAAGGGCGUUGAAGCAUGAUCGUAAGGACAUGUGGAGCGCUUAGAAGUGAGAAUGCCGGUGUGAGUAGCGAAAGACGGGUGAGAAUCCCGUCCACCGAUUGACUAAGGUUUCCAGAGGAAGGCUCGUCCGCUCUGGGUUAGUCGGGUCCUAAGCUGAGGCCGACAGGCGUAGGCGAUGGAUAACAGGUUGAUAUUCCUGUACCACCUAUAAUCGUUUUAAUCGAUGGGGGGACGCAGUAGGAUAGGCGAAGCGUGCGAUUGGAUUGCACGUCUAAGCAGUAAGGCUGAGUAUUAGGCAAAUCCGGUACUCGUUAAGGCUGAGCUGUGAUGGGGAGAAGACAUUGUGUCUUCGAGUCGUUGAUUUCACACUGCCGAGAAAAGCCUCUAGAUAGAAAAUAGGUGCCCGUACCGCAAACCGACACAGGUAGUCAAGAUGAGAAUUCUAAGGUGAGCGAGCGAACUCUCGUUAAGGAACUCGGCAAAAUGACCCCGUAACUUCGGGAGAAGGGGUGCUCUUUAGGGUUAACGCCCAGAAGAGCCGCAGUGAAUAGGCCCAAGCGACUGUUUAUCAAAAACACAGGUCUCUGCUAAACCGUAAGGUGAUGUAUAGGGGCUGACGCCUGCCCGGUGCUGGAAGGUUAAGAGGAGUGGUUAGCUUCUGCGAAGCUACGAAUCGAAGCCCCAGUAAACGGCGGCCGUAACUAUAACGGUCCUAAGGUAGCGAAAUUCCUUGUCGGGUAAGUUCCGACCCGCACGAAAGGCGUAACGAUUUGGGCACUGUCUCAACGAGAGACUCGGUGAAAUCAUAGUACCUGUGAAGAUGCAGGUUACCCGCGACAGGACGGAAAGACCCCGUGGAGCUUUACUGUAGCCUGAUAUUGAAAUUCGGCACAGCUUGUACAGGAUAGGUAGGAGCCUUUGAAACGUGAGCGCUAGCUUACGUGGAGGCGCUGGUGGGAUACUACCCUAGCUGUGUUGGCUUUCUAACCCGCACCACUUAUCGUGGUGGGAGACAGUGUCAGGCGGGCAGUUUGACUGGGGCGGGCGCCUCCUAAAAGGUAACGGAGGCGCUCAAAGGUUCCCUCAGAAUGGUUGGAAAUCAUUCAUAGAGUGUAAAGGCAUAAGGGAGCUUGACUGCGAGACCUACAAGUCGAGCAGGGUCGAAAGACGGACUUAGUGAUCCGGUGGUUCCGCAUGGAAGGGCCAUCGCUCAACGGAUAAAAGCUACCCCGGGGAUAACAGGCUUAUCUCCCCCAAGAGUUCACAUCGACGGGGAGGUUUGGCACCUCGAUGUCGGCUCAUCGCAUCCUGGGGCUGUAGUCGGUCCCAAGGGUUGGGCUGUUCGCCCAUUAAAGCGGUACGCGAGCUGGGUUCAGAACGUCGUGAGACAGUUCGGUCCCUAUCCGUCGUGGGCGUAGGAAAUUUGAGAGGAGCUGUCCUUAGUACGAGAGGACCGGGAUGGACAUACCUCUGGUGUACCAGUUGUCGUGCCAACGGCAUAGCUGGGUAGCUAUGUGUGGACGGGAUAAGUGCUGAAAGCAUCUAAGCAUGAAGCCCCCCUCAAGAUGAGAUUUCCCAACUUCGGUUAUAAGAUCCCUCAAAGAUGAUGAGGUUAAUAGGUUCGAGGUGGAAGCAUGGUGACAUGUGGAGCUGACGAAUACUAAUCGAUCGAAGACUUAAUCAA